AGGGCACCACCAGGAGUGGAGCCUGCGGCUUAAUUUGACCCAACAUGGGAAAACUCACCCGGCCCGGACACCGCGAGGAUUGACAGAUUGAUAGCUCUUUCAUGAUUCGGUGGAUGGUGGUGCAUGGCCGUUCUUAGUUCGUGGAGCGAUUUGUCUGGUUUAUUCCGAUAACGAGCGAGACUCUAGCCUACUAACUAGUCCGCAUGUUCGCUUGCUGCAUCCUUGGGACUUCUUAGAGGGAUUUUCGGCGUUUCAGCCGCACGAAACUGAGCAAUAACAGGUCUGUGACGCCCUUAGAUGUCCGGGGCUGCACGCGCGCUACACUGGCGAAAUCAGCGUGCCUGUCCUCUCGCGAAAGCGACUGGUAAACCGGUGAAAAUUCGCCGUGAUUGGGAUCGGAAAUUGCAAUUAUUUUCCGUGAACGAGGAAUUCCAAGUAAGUGCGAGUCAUCAACUCGCGUUGAUUACGUCCCUGCCCUUUGUACACACCGCCCGUCGCUGCCCGAGACUGAGCCAUUUC
rnacentral:rRNA from 1 species